rnacentral:rRNA from 1 species
AUUGAACGCUGGCGGAAUGCUUUACACAUGCAAGUCGAACGGCAGCACGGGGGCAACCCUGGUGGCGAGUGGCGAACGGGUGAGUAAUAUAUCGGAACGUGCCCAGUCGUGGGGGAUAACGUAGCGAAAGUUACGCUAAUACCGCAUACGAUCUACGGAUGAAAGCGGGGGAUCGCAAGACCUCGCGCGAUUGGAGCGGCCGAUAUCAGAUUAGGUAGUUGGUGAGGUAAAGGCUCACCAAGCCAACGAUCUGUAGCUGGUCUGAGAGGACGACCAGCCACACUGGGACUGAGACACGGCCCAGACUCCUACGGGAGGCAGCAGUGGGGAAUUUUGGACAAUGGACGCAAGUCUGAUCCAGCCAUUCCGCGUGCAGGACGAAGGCCUUCGGGUUGUAAACUGCUUUUGUACGGAACGAAAAAGCUCUUACUAAUACUAGGAGUCCAUGACGGUACCGUAAGAAUAAGCACCGGCUAACUACGUGCCAGCAGCCGCGGUAAUACGUAGGGUGCGAGCGUUAAUCGGAAUUACUGGGCGUAAAGCGUGCGCAGGCGGUUAUAUAAGACAGAUGUGAAAUCCCCGGGCUCAACCUGGGAACUGCAUUUGUGACUGUAUAGCUAGAGUGCGGCAGAGGGGGAUGGAAUUCCGCGUGUAGCAGUGAAAUGCGUAGAUAUGCGGAGGAACACCGAUGGCGAAGGCAA